UACGUAGGGUGCAAGCGUUAAUCGGAAUUACUGGGCGUAAAGCGUGCGCAGGCGGUUGUGCAAGACAGAUGUGAAAUCCCCGGGCUUAACCUGGGAACUGCAUUUGUGACUGCAUGGCUAGAGUGCGGCAGAGGGGGAUGGAAUUCCUGGUGUAGCAGUGAAAUGCGUAGAUAUCAGGAGGAAUACCGAUGGCGAAGGCAGGUCUCUGGGCUGACACUGACGCUCAUGCACGAAAGCGUGGGGAGCAAACAGG
rnacentral:rRNA from 1 species